UACGUAGGGGGCGAGCGUUGUCCGGAGUUACUGGGCGUAAAGGGUGCGUAGGCGGCCCAUUAAGUCAGGUGUGGAAGGCCCUGGCUCAACCGGGGUAUUGCACUUGAAACUGGUGGGCUUGAGUGCAGGAGAGGGAAGUGGAAUUUCUGGUGUAGCGGUGAAAUGCGUAGAUAUCAGGAGGAACACCAGUGGCGAAGGCGGCUUCCUGGCCUGUAACUGACGCUGAGGCACGAAAGCGUGGGGAGCAAACAGG
rnacentral:rRNA from 1 species